rnacentral:rRNA from 1 species
UACGGGGGGAGCAAGCGUUGUUCGGAUUUACUGGGCGUAAAGGGCGCGUAGGCGGUCAGCACAAGUCAGUUGUGAAAUCUCCGGGCUUAACUCGGAAAGGUCAACUGAUACUGUGCGACUAGAGUGCGGAAGGGGCAACUGGAAUUCUCGGUGUAGCGGUGAAAUGCGUAGAUAUCGAGAGGAACACCUGCGGCGAAGGCGGGUUGCUGGGCCGACACUGACGCUGAUGCGCGAAAGCCAUGGGAGCGAACGGG